rnacentral:rRNA from 1 species
UACGUAGGGCGCAAGCGUUAUCCGGAAUUAUUGGGCGUAAAGAGCUCGUAGGCGGUUUGUCGCGUCUGCUGUGAAAACUGGAGGCUCAACCUCCAGCCUGCAGUGGGUACGGGCAGACUAGAGUGCGGUAGGGGAGAUUGGAAUUCCUGGUGUAGCGGUGGAAUGCGCAGAUAAUCAGGAGGAACACCGAUGGCGAAGGCAGAUCUCUGGGCCGUAACUGGACGCUGAAGGAGCGAAAGCAUGGGGGAGCGAAACAGG